rnacentral:rRNA from 1 species
UGGGCGUAAAGCGCACGCAGGCGGUCUGUCAAGUCGGAUGUGAAAUCCCCGGGCUCAACCUGGGAACUGCAUCCGAAACCCCGCAGGCUAGAGUCUUGUAGAGGGGGGUAGAAUUCCAGGUGUAGCGGUGAAAUGCGUAGAGAUCUGGAGGAAUACCGGUGGCGAAGGCGGCCCCCUGGACAAAGACUGACGCUCAGGUGCGAAAGCGUGGGGAGCAAACAGGAUUAGAUACCCUGGUAGUCCACGCCGUAAACGAUGUCGACUUGGAGGUUGUGCCCUUGAGGCGUGGCUUCCGGAGCUAACGCGUUAAGUCGACCGCCUGGGGAGUACGGCCGCAAGGUUAAAACUCAAAUGAAUUGACGGGGGCCCGCACAAGCGGUGGAGCAUGUGGUUUAAUUCGAUGCAACGCGAAGAACCUUACCUACUCUUGACAUCCAGAGAACUUAGCAGAGAUGCUUUGGUGCCUUCGGGAACUCUGAGACAGGUGCUGCAUGGCUGUCGUCAG